CCUGCGUGCUAGUCCUGCCUACGGAGGGGAGGCCACGCGGUCACGUCGGCCGGCAGCGUGGAUUUGACAUGCAGGGAAGAACUCGAACCCCAGGCCAGCUUGGACUCGCAGCCCUGCCUUUCGUGAACAUUGCACAACCUAUCCAACCGCCCCGUGCCUCACUUUUCUCCUCUGGGAAAUGGGCACGUUGUGAUACCAGGACACCUUGAAUGGGCCUGGCACACAGCAGAUGCUCAGUAAAGGUGGAGAAACUGGGCUCCGAGAAGCAAAGCGACUUGCUGAAGGCCACACAGCAAAGCAGAGCGGAGGCCAUUCACCAGGUGGACUCCAGGAUGAAGGGCUUCAUCUCCCACCCCCUGCGCAAACAGCACUUCACUGGCAGUUUUCUGCAAAGCGCAUCGCCAGGGCCGGGCUCCCCUUUGGGACAGUCUUCCCUCAGUGAGACUGCAGGUGGCGGCAGUGGUCACGUUGGGCUGCUCAGCCCCUACUUUGCUGCACCAGGAAGAUCACAGAAAACCAGCCAGCAUGGACCCGGAGGAUUGCAGAGGGCAGAGAGCUUGAAUAGCCGGCGGCUGCACGGGGGCCUGGCCCGACUCAGGGGCCCUCCUCCCAGAGGUGCCGGGCUUGUGUGGGUGCGGCCAUGUCAGCCAGGCAGGGUCAGCAGGUUUCAGCAAAUACAUCGGCAGUAUCAUUUGAAGCUUUUAAACCAGGAACAUGUGUUGCACUGAUACAAAUGCAAAUUCAAUAGCGAAAGAACAAACAUCUUCACAAAUUUGACAGGUGAGAAGUGCUCCAUGGUUGCUUGGAUCUACAUUCUUUUAAUUUCUGGCAAGGACGUACAUUGCUCAAAUGUUUCUGCACCGUCUGUGUUUUCUCUAAGUCCUGGUGUCUGCUGCCAGGGAACAGAGUAAGGCUGGAGCCUGGCACGUGGGGGCAGACAGCUCUGCUUCCAAGUCCUGCUCUGCCAGUACCUGGGUGACCUCACAUGGGGGGCUUUAUCUCCACUUUGCUCACCCACAAACUGGAUGGUAAUAGGAUGCAGUCUUAGUCCAUUCAGGCUGCUUAAACGCAAUGCCACAGACUCAGGGGGCUUAUAAACAAUGGAAAUUUGUUUCUCAUGGUUCUGGAGGUGAGAAGUCUGAGAGCAGGCUGCCGGCAGGGCCCGGUGAGGGCCCUCUUCUGGGCACACUUCCUCUCUCAGGGGAAGGGGCAGGGGCUCUCUCUGGGCCCCAUUAUAUUAAGGCCCAUUUCAUGGGGAGGGGGGCUCUGCCCUCAUAAUCUAAUUGCCUCCCCAAGGUCCCACUUCCUAACGUCAUCAGCUUUGGGGGUGAGGACUUCAAUGUGUGGAUUUCAGUGGGACGAGGUUAGACAACAGCAAUGGUGAUGUUUUGGUGAGUUGGGAUGGCAGAGGUUGCUAGAAGUCUACCAAGUGCUCUCACCUACAUCCUCAUUUAAUCUGCAUAGUAUGGGCAUUGUUUUAACAUCUUUUUCACUAAGGACAGGAGACUCAGAGGGGUGGAGCAAGUUGCCUGUCACCCACUCUAUCGCUUUGUGGAGCUCACCGUGAGAAUGUCUCUGACCCUGAACCCAGCCCCAAGCAGACCCAGGGGCCAAUCUUUGCCACUAGGUGUUGAAUUGGCCAUUCAGACGGUCCGUGAUUGAGCCUCUGUGGCUCCUCUGUCUCUGAGUUUUGUUCAUUUCUUUUGAGACCUCCCUCAGGGGCCCCUGACUUCCUGCUCCCGUGCGAACUGGCAGCCCUCUCAGCCCACUGAACGGCUGUGGUUCUGGCAUUUUCCUUUGCUGUUACCCUGGGGACCCCCAUACUCCCUUGUGUUGGAUCACUGGUUUCUUAGUCCCCAGGUCUUUCUGUUUUGCAGCUCACCUUCUCAUUUUGGUGGAGCACAGCCUGUAAGGAGGCAUGGAGGUAAAUGUUACAAGACCUUGCAUGUCUUAAAAUGACCUUAUUCUAGCCUCAUGCUUGAUCAACAGCCUGAGAAUUGAAGUCUAUGUUGAAAACCAUUUUCCUUAGGAUUUUGAAGGCAUUGCUCUGUCGGCUUCUAGCUUGUAAGGUUGCUGGAGAGAAUUCUGGAGCCAUUCUGAUUCGGAGUGUUUGUGACAAUUUCUCCCCAUUCUCUGGAAACUCUAGAAACAAUUUAUUCUAGCACCCAGUCGUUCUGGUACAUAAAGAUGCUGUGUCUUGGUGUGAGUCUUUCUUUUUUAGUCCAUUCCGCUGGAUGCCGGUCAGCUCAAUCGAGAAGCCUAUGGGCUUCGGUUCUGAGAGUUUUUCAUCACAUUUGUCAGCCUCCUCUCUGCUUUCUCUGAUCUCUCUCAGCCUCCUAUUUUUGGGAUGUGGGAUUUAAGAAGCUUUAUAACAUGGAGAAGUUCCGAACUUUUUAUGCAGGCAUAUCUGUUAACUUCCAUUUAGCCUUCUAGAUGGACCUUGCUGCUGAUCUCAUCUUUGAAAUAUUCUUCCCAUCCCUAAAAUUACAUGACCAACUCAAUUGUUAAUGUUGGCAAUAGCAAGUUCAUAACGAGGCUCACGCCGUUGUGUUCAUCUGAACUCCACUGCAGGCAGCACAAGUGAGCAUUUGUGUGACAAGCGAAGGGGAGAAACAAUUUACUGGUUAAACCAAGAAAAAAGAAAAACAACCCACAUGAUUCAUUUUAUCUGGGAUCUUAUUGCCAGCAAAGAUUCUGGUUUUUAAAUGUUGAAAUGAGUAUUUUUUUUACACAAGUUAAAGGACAUGAAAAAAUUGUUGAAGGACAAAUAAUGAGCAGAAAGAACU